GACCGCAGCCCGCUGGAGGUGCCGGGGGCGAAAUGCUGGCGUCUGCUCCUCCGUCUCCCAGAAUCCUGCCCUGGAAAAAACCAGCGCCAACCGCCGGUUUAACUGAGGACGGAUUUAAGGCAUUACGAAAGACAGCUUUCCCCUUUGCUCGGCUCUCCUUCUCUCUCCUGCUGCCCUGUGAAGAGGUGUCUUCUGCCAUAAUUGAAAAUCAAAUUUAACAACUGUUUCCACCAGAAAACCAUCAUCAUAAGAACCAAAAAUUAGGCGAGGACUCACAGUACCUGGGUUUAACUUCAUGUCGCUGAAAGAGGCACUGAAAAGGAAGAGGAAGACAGAGCUCUUACCAGGGGGAGGCAGAGAUGGCACAGCAAGAGACAUGCCCCCAGAAUGCCACCAAUGCCCCAGGACAGGCCCACCCAUGGGACCAGGUUAUCGGGA
rnacentral:lncRNA from 1 species